rnacentral:rRNA from 1 species
UAGAGAAAGCUUGCUUUUUCUAUGAUGAGUUGCGAACGGGUGAGUAACACGUGGGUAACCUACCUCUUAGCGGGGGAUAACACUUGGAAACAGGUGCUAAUACCGCAUAACAGCUUGAAUCGCAUGAUUUAAGUUUGAAAGGUGCUUUCAAGCAUCACUAAGAGAUGGACCCGCGGUGCAUUAGCUAGAUGGUGAGGUAACGGCUCACCAUGGCGAUGAUGCAUAGCCGACCUGAGAGGGUGAUCGGCCACAUUGGGACUGAGACACGGCCCAAACUCCUACGGGAGGCAGCAGUAGGGAAUCUUCGGCAAUGGACGCAAGUCUGACCGAGCAACGCCGCGUGAGUGAAGAAGGUUUUCGGAUCGUAAAACUCUGUUGUUAGAGAAGAACAAGUGGGUAAGGAAAUGUACUCACCUUGACGGUAUCUAACCAGAAAGCCACGGCUAACUACGUGCCAGCAGCCGCGGUAAUACGUAGGUGGCAAGCGUUGUCCGGAUUUAUUGGGCGUAAAGCGAGCGCAGGCGGUUUCUUAAGUCUGAUGUGAAAGCCCCCGGCUCAACCGGGGAGGGUCAUUGGAAACUGGGAAACUUGAGUGCAGAAGAGGAGAGUGGAAUUCCCAUGUGUAGCGGUGAAAUGCGUAGAUAUAUGGAGGAACACCAGUGGCGAAGGCGGCUCUCUGGUCUGUAACUGACGCUGAGGCUCGAAAGCGUGGGGAGCGAACAGGAUUAGAUACCCCUGGUAGUCCMCGCCGUAAACGAUGAGUGCUAAGUGUUGGAGGGUUUCCGCCCUU